CAGUCGCCACGGGAAUACGUAGGGCGCAAGCGUUGUCCGGAAUUAUUGGGCGUAAAGAGCUCGUAGGCGGUCUGUCGCGUCUGGUGUGAAAUCCCGAGGCUCAACCUCGGGCUUGCAUCGGGUACGGGCAGACUAGAGUGCGGUAGGGGAGACUGGAAUUCCUGGUGUAGCGGUGGAAUGCGCAGAUAUCAGGAGGAACACCGAUGGCGAAGGCAGGUCUCUGGGCCGCAACUGACGCUGAGGAGCGAAAGCAUGGGGAGCGAACAGGAUUAGAUACCCCCGUAGUCCCUGUCUCUUAUAC
rnacentral:rRNA from 1 species